UACGUAGGGGGCAAGCGUUAUCCGGAUUUACUGGGUGUAAAGGGGGCGCAGACGGCAGCGCAAGCCAGGAGUGAAAGCCCGGGGCCCAACCCCGGGACUGCUCUUGGAACUGCGCGGCUGGAGUGCAGGAGGGGCAGGCGGAAUUCCUGGUGUAGCGGUGAAAUGCGUAGAUAUCAGGAGGAGCACCAGUGGCGAAGGCGGCUUGCUGGACGAUGACUGACGUUGAGGCUCGAAAGCGUGGGGAGCAAACAGG
rnacentral:rRNA from 1 species